rnacentral:rRNA from 1 species
CGGUGAGUAAAGUUCCGGCGGUAUGAGAUGGGUGUGCGUCUGAUUAGCUAGUUGGUGAGGUAACGGCUCACCAAGGCGACGAUCAGUAGGGGGCGUGAGAGCGUGACCCCCCCACACGGGUACUGAGACACGGACCCG